AUGGUCCUCAAUAAGGAAGCCCCAGGAAACCUGGUGCAGGUCCCACCAGAGUCUCUGAGGGUGUCAAGGUGGCCAGACGAGGAGAGAGUGCCAAGCCUCAUCCAUUGGCACUUGCUGGCCUCUUGUGUGGAGGAAGAAAGGGUGGGACCCACAGAACCCCCACUCAGAAGCACUAGUUGUGACUUCCUGUUGCUCACUGCUGCUCCUCACAGGAGUACAGAGGGGGCUCCCAGCUGUGAGCAUGCAUGUGGCAGGGGGCCUCAGCUUGGCAGUCACCAGAGCUGCCCUGUUCGCUCUCUUGUGACAUGCUGACGUGUCCCCAGAGACACACCUGGUGAGGCCUCUUGGGAAUUCACAGUCUAUUCGGGAGACGGGAUUCACUCCGGGAGCAUCUGCCUACUGAGCCAACAGGGCGUGGGAGAGGAGGCUAGACCAGUCUCUGACCCAUGGUGAGAAGGUCUAAGGAGGGAACACGUCUCUCACCAGGGAUGGAGCUGGUGACCCAGCAUUCCCUCCUCAGCCUGGCCCUACAAAUGGACUCUUACCUGUGUUCACAGAGAAAACAGGAGUCCACUGUGGCUGUUUGGAAAAGCAAAAACAAUUGAAAACCACCUAAAGGUCUCUCGGUGCAGAGAUGGCUUUAUGUUUCAACUGUGGAAUACUCUAUAGCAGCUAAAAUGAUGAAAUGGUCCUAAGUGUACCCAGCAUGGGCAGACACAGUCAGAUGGGGAAAGCAAGUCGUGAAACAGCACACACCAUGUACGUGCAAUGAAGACCUAUUCCAUUAGUUCCAUGGGCACCCAAAUCUGGACUUACACCAUGGCCCAAAGUCUAGAAGGUGUCACACCGAGUUGAAAACAGGGCAUAUAUGGGAAAGUAGGGCAUGUCUUCCAUAACAUUAACUUUUUUUGGUCUGAUCAACACAGACACCAGAAUGUAUUCAUGUAUCACUUGCACAAUUAACUUUAAAGAAAAAAAAUGAAAAUUUGUUGAAAGCAGAUAGGAUGAAAAGGGAGGGGGAGCGACACCUGGGUGGCUCAGUGGUUGAGCAUCUGCCUUUGGCUCAGGGCGUGAUCCUGGAGUUCUGGGAUCUAGUCCUGCAUCGGCCUCCCUGCAUGGAGCCUGCUUGUCCCUCUGCCUAUGUUUCUGCCUCUCUUUCUGUGUCUCUCAUGAAUAAAUAAAUAAAAUCUAAAAAAAAAAAAAAAGGA
rnacentral:lncRNA from 12 species